rnacentral:rRNA from 1 species
AACGAACGCUGGCGGCAGGCCUAACACAUGCAAGUCGAACGGGUGUAGCAAUACAUCAGUGGCAGACGGGUGAGUAACGCGUGGGAAUCUCCCCAGAGGUACGGAACAACUCAGGGAAACUUGAGCUAAUACCGUAUGUGCCCGAGAGGGCAAAGAUUCAUCGCCUUUGGAUGAGCCCGCGUUGGAUUAGCUAGUUGGUGGGGUAACGGCCUACCAAGGCUACGAUCCAUAGCUGAUCUGAGAGGAUGAUCAGCCACACUGGGACUGAGACACGGCCCAGACUCCUACGGGAGGCAGCAGUGGGGAAUCUUGGACAAUGGGCGCAAGCCUGAUCCAGCCAUGCCGCGUGAGUGAAGAAGGCCUUAGGGUUGUAAAGCUC